rnacentral:rRNA from 1 species
UCAGGCCUAACACAUGCAAGUCGAACGGGGAAAGUAGCAAUAUGAGUACUAGUGGCGCACGGGUGAGGAACACGUGGGUAAUGUGCCUUCGAGUGGGGGAUAACUAGUCGAAAGAUUAGCUAAUACCGCAUAAGACCACAGGAUCUGAGGAUCUAGGGGUCAAAGCAGCAAUGCGCUUGAAGAUCAGCCCGCGUAAGAUUAGCUAGUUGGUGAGGUAAUGGCUCACCAAGGCGAUGAUCUUUAGCUGGUCUGAGAGGAUGAUCAGCCACACUGGAACUGAGACACGGUCCAGACUCCUACGGGAGGCAGCAGUAGGGAAUAUUGCGCAAUGGGGGCAACCCUGACGCAGCGACGCCGCGUGAGUGAUAAAGGCCUUCGGGUCGUAAAGCUCUGUUAUAUGGGAAUAAGUUCUGAAUG